CGGCCGCGGUAUCUUGACCGUGCCAAGGUAGCAUAAUCACUUGUCUCUUAAAUGGGGACCCGUAUGAAUGGCUCUUCAUCCUUUAACUGUCUCCCUUUUUUUCCACACAAACUUCUAUUUACGUGAAGAAGCGUACUUCAGAGAGAAAGACGAGAAGACCCUGUCGAGCUUUAGCCUACCCUACUCACUUACACUCAUCCUUCCCCAGGAAAAAACCUCUGUAGGCCAGGCUUUGGUUGGGGCAACCAUGGAGAAAAAACAUCCUCCAGUUUUCUAGGAAGAGAAUCAACUCUCCUUCCCCAUUUUUGAGAACCAACACUUUUGGAAAACGGAAAAAGUUACCGCAGGGAUAACAGCGUUAUCUUUUCUAAGAGCCCUUAUUGACGAAAAGGAUUGCGACCUCGAUGUUGGAUUGGGGUAACCAAAGGGUGCAGCAGCUCU
rnacentral:rRNA from 1 species